CUCCUCCUCUUCAGCCCCCAGAAGCACCAUUAGACCACUUCCAUUCCUGCUCUGAUGCCAAAGAGUGCUGCUGAGGGAAAUCCAGGCACUAGGACCACCCUGACCACUUAAGAGCCCUCAGGAGCACCAUUAGAUCUUCUCCACAUCUGCCCUGAUGCCACAGAGCACCACUGGGAGGGAAUGAGGACCUCUGGGCCGUCUCGAAGAUCUCAACAGCAGGUGCCCAAUGCAUUUCUUGACUUCAAGGAGCAUACCUGUGCCAUUUUGGAUCAUCAGAUCAAACCUCAGACCUGUCCUGCCAUUGAGAUGGAGCUGUAGGCUGUACUGUCACCUCAAGGGGAAGGCUUUUAUUUUAUUUGUGUGUGUGUGUGUGUGUAUAUAAAAACAUAAGGUUAAUGGGGCUCGGGGA